GACUUAUGGCUCAAUGGUAGAGCAUCGGAACGCUAUGCCGAAGACUUGGGGUUCGAUUCCCAAAAGGGUUA
rnacentral:tRNA from 1 species